rnacentral:rRNA from 1 species
ACGCGGGGGCAACCCUGGCGACGAGUGGCGAACGGGUGAGUAAUACAUCGGAACAUAUCCAGUAGCGGGGGAUAACCUAUCGAAAGAUUGGCUAAUACCGCAUACGAUCUACGGAUGAAAGCGGGGGACCGCAAGGCCUCGCACUAUUGGAGUGGCCGAUGUCAGAUUAGCUAGUUGGUGGGGUAAAAGCCUACCAAGGCGACGAUCUGUAGCUGGUCUGAGAGGACGAUCAGCCACACUGGAACUGAGACACGGUCCAGACUCCUACGGGAGGCAGCAGUGGGGAAUUUUGGACAAUGGGCGCAAGCCUGAUCCAGCCAUGCCGCGUGAGUGAAGAAGGCCUUCGGGUUGUAAAGCUCUUUCGGUGAAGACGAAACGGUUAGCGUUAAUAACGCUGACUAAUGACGGUACUCACAGAAGAAGCACCGGCUAACUACGUGCCAGCAGCCGCGGUAAUACGUAGGGUGCAGGCGUUAAUCGGAAUUACUGGGCGUAAAGCGUGCGCAGGCGGUUUGCUAAGACAGGUGUGAAAUCCCGGGCUUAACCUGGGAAUUUGCGCUUGUAACUGGCAAGCUAGAGUGUGG